AAUGGCGACCAGGAAGUGAGUUUUGGAAGUGAACGUGAUAGUGUUUGCUGUUUUAUAAGCUAAAUAUGAAAUGUCAUGGGAUACCUUAUCAGCCCGUGGAUACAUAAGAUCUUCCCAGAAGCUACAGGGAUGCAGUGUGAGUGAUAUGGAGAAACACAAGGGGACUCAAAGCUGUUCAUGCCAGUCUUGCUUGCUGGCCGCAGUUUCACCCAACAGCCACACAGCGGUAGAGAUGCAGUCACAGUGUGGCGUGGACAGCCCAGUGCCAUCCAACCUGGACUUGGUGACCAGUGAGAAGUCAGCACUCAUCCUGGUGACAGUCCUGGAUAUCUGGGGUGGAGAGGCACUUUCUGACUCUUCAGAUUGAAAGAUGAAGAACACUGCCACAUCCAAGGGAGAUAAUCCACUUUCAUUGCACCUGCAAAUCAAGCUCCUUCAGUAACCUAUGCUGUCUAGUGAUGUGAAGCAUUUCCACACCACCAGUUCUCACCUGUGCAACGCCUGGGUCAGCUACUUUCCUCCAUCUUCCCAAAGCAAGGCAAGGGACUAUAAAAGUCCUGUUUCCACCCUUACUGAAUUACGUUGGAAUUUCAUGGCUCGAUCCUAGCGCCACCAGUGGCAAUCACGUGUUAUGGCCCUUCUAUGUCCAUCCAACUGACCACCUCCCUCUCAUAUCACUUCCAUUUGCUUCAAACAAUAUGGUGGUGCAUAGUCAAGAUGAUCUGAUCAAUAAUCAAGACCUAUAUUGUAAUAAAAUGGGUCUUACGCCCAGUUGAUGGUACACCUGCUUUGGAAAUCCUGCAGUCGAACGAAAGCUGCCUGAUGGAAUCCAUGUUGUUUACGAACUGGAUGUCUAGUUUCUUACGCGAUUGUGAUUGGACUAAGCAAAGACUCAUUAGUCCAGCCACAAUGUAACUCCAGAAUUUCGAGCCUAGUUAUGCAAGGGUGGAAACUGGACUUUUAUAGUCAGAUAACUCCCUUGUCUCAGGAAGAUGACUUUCCUCCUGCUGCCAAAAGAUCAGAAGACACUAUUUAUUACUGUUAUCACAUUUUCUGUUACAGUCAAUCUAUUUAUAGCUUCCUAUUUUGUUAUGUUGUCUGUUUUUCACUGAUUGUUCACCUGAUUAAAACAUUUUUUCAUGAAUUAUCAAGUACAACACAAUCUGGGCAUUGCAGUGAUAGGUAGCUUGUUGGUAUUGCCAAAACAUGAAUGUACCAGAACAGUUUAAAGAAACAGGAAUACUUUUCUUCAACAAGUCUCUGGGAACUUGGUGUGCAGGCGUUCAAUGGCUGUAGGAACUUGAUGUACCAAGGGAAAUAACUCUGGUUGGCUUGUGUUGAAAGAGUUCAGGGUGUUUGUGCUGUGUCUGGUUCUACUACACUUAAUGAGAAUCAGUUGUGCCUGAGGCUGGCUACCUACCUACCUACCUACCUACCUACCUACCUACGUAAGAAUAGCACUUUGAGCAUGCCCCUGAGUGGUGUGGAAAUAUGUGCAAUAUAAAUGGUCAUUAUUAUUAUUAUUGUACAUUUUAGUGUAAUGGUAUGGACUUUUAUUAGAUCGAACACUUGAGUCUUGUCAUACUGUCUCUUGGCUCAAGUAUCAUGUGUUGUACAUUUUAGUGUUAUCGUGUGGACUUUUAUAGGCUGAGCCUACUAGACUGAACAGCACAUCACUUGACGGGGGCUUGGGGCCAGUGGCUAAAGUUGCAGACUGUGCAUUUAGCUUCCAUCUUGCUCUUAAUCUACCUGCAGGGAACUCUCUUUGUUGCAAAGUUUGAGAUUUAAGAUUUUGUACAUGUGUAAACUGUUUGUGUAAUUCUGUUGGAACCAAACGUCUGAAGAUGUGACAAAAACCUGUAAGUCAGCGGGGAAGGUGGCAUUCUCUGGUCACAAUAAAGUCCUUGGUUUGAUUCCUCACAUAUUAGGUCGCCUUGUUAUUCCCCCCGGCAUGUAAUGGGGGGUUAAUAUAGUCGACGUCUUGUCUGUCUGUCCAUCUGUCAGCCCUUGUGUGUGUCCGUCCAUCUGUAAUCAUUUCUUUUCUGGAGCACAACUCAAAAACCAUUCAAUAUUUUACAACAAAACUUGGCAGAUAUAUCAAACAGAUCCUGAAAUGGUGCCUUUUAAUGUUUAUGGAUUUUGGGCAGUUUUUAGUUUUUCUCGAUUUCCAUGGAAACAGUUUGGACUUUGUCUCUAAAGGUGGGAUAAAUUUUGUUUCUGAAAGCUGUCCAAUAUUUUUCACCAAAACUUGCCAGAUGUAUCAAACAGAUCCUGAAGUGAUGCCUUUUCCUGUUUGUGGAUAUUUGGCGUUUUUAAUUUUCUCGAUUUCCAUGGAAACAAUUUAGACUUAGUCUCAAAAAGGGUCGGGGUCAGUGUCGUUUCCAGAGCACAAUUUGAAAACUGUGAAAGACUUUUCUUCCAAACCUGCUACAUGUAUUACAUAUUAGUUGAAGUGGUGCCUCUUGCUAUUUAGAAAAUUUUCAAAAUUUGAUUUUUCCCAGUUUCCUGUGGAAACAAGUUAAACUUAGCUGAAAAGGAGGCUGGUGUCAUUUCUGGAGCAGAACUAUAAAGCUUUUCAACAUUUUUAAUCCAAACUUGGUACAUAUAUUAAUCAAGAGCUAAGGUGGUGCCUUUUGCUAUUUUAUAGGAAAUUAAAACAUAUUAAUUUUUCCUGUUUCCAUGGCAGCAAGUUUAACUUUGACUCAGUUCAUAGUGGUGUGUUUGUCCGGACCAUAUCUCUAAAACUAAUAGGUAUUCUUUCUUGAAACUGCACACACAGAGACCAGGUUGCCAAAUGGUGCCAUUUGCUACUUAUGGGUGUUUAGAAUUUAUAUCUUUUUCUGUUUCCAUGGCAACAACUUUGACUUUGACUCUGUUCAUAGUUGUGUGAACCUGACACAGAAAUUCAAAGUUCCGAAUCCAAGUUCCAUGGUAUUGUUUUGAUAGCUUGAUAACUACUCUUGUAUACGGACUGUCAGAUUGUUGGGACCAUGCUAGGACAUUGAGACAUUGCUGGAACAUUGAUAGGACAUGGCUUGGACAUUGAUGGGACAUUGAUGGGACAUUGAUGGUACAUUGCUGGGACAUUGCUGGGACAUUGCUGGGACAUUGAUAGGACAUGGCUUGGACACUGAUGGGACAUUAAUGGGACAUUGAUGGUACAUUGCUGGGACAUGGCUGGGACAUUGCUGGUACAUUGCUGGUACAUUGCUGGUACAUGGCUGGGACAUGGCUGAGACAUUGCUGGGACAUGGAUGGGACAUUGCUGGGACAUGGCUGGGACAUUGCUGGGACAUUGCUGAGACAUUGCUGGGACAUUGCUGAGACAUUGCUGGGUCAUUGCUGGUACAUUGCUGGUACAUGGCUGGGACAUGGAUGGG